AUUGAACGCUGGCGGCAGGCUUAACACAUGCAAGUCGAGCGGGGACUUCGGUCCUAGCGGCGAACGGGUGAGGAAUGCUUGGGAAUCUGCCUGGUAGUGGGGGAUAACGUUUCGAAAGGAACGCUAAUACCGCAUACGUCCUACGGGAGAAAGGGGGGGAUCUUCGGACCUCUCGCUAUCAGAUGAGCCCAAGUCGGAUUAGCUAGUUGGUGAGGUAAAGGCUCACCAAGGCGACGAUCCGUAGCUGGUCUGAGAGGAUGAUCAGCCACACUGGAACUGAGACACGGCCCAGACUCCUACGGGAGGCAGCAGUGGGGAAUAUUGGACAAUGGGCGAAAGCCUGAUCCAGCCAUGCCGCGUGUGUGAAGAGGGCCUUCGGGUUGUAAAGCACUUUAAGCGAGGAGGAAUGGCUCUGGGUUAAUACCCUUGAGCAGUGACGUUACUCGCAGAGUAAGCACCGGCUAACUCUGUGCCAGCCGCCGCGGUAAGAC
rnacentral:rRNA from 1 species